GUACUUUAACGUAGNCUUCGAUUGCCCUACGGGGACGAUCGGCGCUGCUGGUCUAGCGGUCCACAGUAUGGGUCAUACCGACUGUCCAAUGGCGGGUCGGCUGGCUUGCCGGUCGAUUAGGCGGGGUUUUCCCCACUACUUCACUUUUCACCCAAACCUUAAACUCACAAACUGAAGCAAAUUGCAACCGGCUUUGCCGACUGCUAUUAACUGACAAACUCUCAACAACGGAUAUCUUGGCUCCCGGAACGAUGAAGAACGCAGCGAAAUGCGAUACGUAGUGUGAAUUGCAGAAUUCCGUGAACCAUCGAAUCUUUGAACGCAAAUUGCGCUCGAGGCUUCGGCCAAGAGCAUGUCUGUCUCAGCGUCGGCUUAACCCCCCUCACUCCUCUCUCCUUUGUCAACAACAAAGGUCCGGGGUAGUGGAUCUGGCCGUCCCGGUGCACAGCCGGGUCGACCGAAGCACAGAGGCUUGUGCUUGAACCCCUCUAAGGGCGACAGCUUGGUAGGUGGCUUUUGCUACAUGCCGCUGAAGCCUGGGUGUUCAAGCCGAAUGGCCGGCAGGAAACCACUCAAACAUUUCGACCUGAGAUCAGGCAAGAACACCCGCUGAACUUAAGCAUAUCA
rnacentral:rRNA from 1 species